GUAAUUUUUGAUGAAGUUGAAGUCCAAUCAACUUGAAACUUAGUACGCAUGUUCCCUAUGAUAUGAUCUUUUUGAUUUAAAUACCAAAUUAGAGUUUUGACUCCAAUUUCAGGGUCCACUGAACAUAGAAAAUUAUAGUGUGAAUGGGGCAUCUGUGUACUAUGGACACAUUCUUGUUUGCUAUAUAAUUUAUUAUUUAAAUCUCCC
rnacentral:lncRNA from 1 species